UUUAUUUCAUGCUUAUUUCAACCAACGCGCUGUUUUAAUUAAUUUUAGAUACUAAUUUAGAUAACUCUCAACCGCCAUGUUUGUCAUAAUUUUGAUCGAAAAUUGACGGAAAUUUGAGCGUGUAUCCAGGCCUUAAGCAAAACAAUCAAUCCUCGGCAAGGCAGUUUGCGUCUUCUAAUAUCGAUAUUUUUAAUGGAUUUAAACGGACCAAAACAGUGUUGCCAACUUAAAUAAACACCACUGCCCUAAUUCAUCGAGUCAAGAAUUCUCGGCCCGUUCCCGGUGGCGGGAGGCGGGAGCGCUCCCUCACAGAUCUGUAGCCAAAGCUCCGGGUGAAUGGAGGCGGAAAUCACAGCCUCGCAAAUUGGACCGGCCCAAGAGAAUGCGUGACGCGACGAAGGGGAGAUACAGGGAGAAGGGAGAGGGAGAGAGAGAAUGGAGAGAACACAGUGGAACCGAGGGAGUAACUGCUAAACUCGGAAGGAACAAAUAUUUAGCGGGGCAAGCAGAGAGGUGCUAAGUUAAUCUUAUACCUGAGGAUAUAUUGAUUAAUACAGCGACUCAGGUCGAAAUAUAUUUUUAUGCCCGAGCAUCAGGGGGCGCGAGGGGGGGUAGUGGUGUGGGAGGGGGAGGAGGGGGGGUUGAGCCGCGCGUGCGCGCGCCAGGGUGCCAACGGCGCCCGCAGUUUCCCUCGUUAGUAGUUGGUGCGAUGUUCGACGUUCAACAGGUGAAGCCGAGUGAGGUGCAUACUAUUAGCGUCCUCCCUCUGCCCAGGAUUUUUUAACAACAAGACGAUACACUUGGGACCGGCUUAAAAUCUCACCCCUGUCAUAAAAAAAGCUCGGCGACUCGGGAUCAACUGUUGCCAUCGUCGAGUUUACAAGAGGACGAGAGCGCGGGCUAGAGUCCAGUGCGGGAACCGGUUUUGGUUUUGGUGACGAACGGCAAUGACUCGGUGUUGGGAUCGGCGUUUGGUGUGGGGCCGUUGAAGCGGGGGCUUGCUCGGUUCUCUGGGGGUCGGGGUCGGGG